AAGACUAUAGACCUGCGGAGUACCUGCGGAAGGAUCAUUACCGGGUUCCCGGGGCCUCUGCCCCGCUCCCCAUAUCCUCUGCAAACCCCCCUCUCCCGCGACCUCCCGUGGCGAAGAGGGCGUUGCGGGGAGGAGGGAGGGCUCCCCCACUCGGGGCCUCUUCCCCCCUCCCCUGCGACGGCCCGCCAGCCAGCGCGAGAACGAAAAACUCUGCCUCCAAACCGUCUGCGUUCUGAGCGA
rnacentral:misc_RNA from 1 species